UACGUAGGGUGCAAGCGUUGUCCGGAAUUAUUGGGCGUAAAGAGCUUGUAGGCGGUUUGUCGCGUCUGCUGUGAAAUUUCGGGGCUCAACCCCGAACUUGCAGUGGGUACGGGCAGACUAGAGUGUGGUAGGGGAGACUGGAAUUCUGGUGUAGCGGUGGAAAUGCGCAGAUAUCAGGAGGAACACCGGUGGCGAAGGCGGGUCUCUGGGCCGAUGACUGACGCUGGAUGCGCGAAAGCGUGGGGAGCAAACGGG
rnacentral:rRNA from 1 species